UUCGAAAAGGUUUUCGAUUCACUUUGGAAGUGUCGUAUGUUACGUUCCGUGACAAUCCAUAUUUUACGUUAAAUCUCUUUUUAUGUCAUCUCAAUUAUUAUGUGUUUUACGUUUGAGCGUUACGUUCGUUUCUACCUAGGAGACACAUUUCGCACUAUUAUCGCAAUCUAAAACAAUUAACGAUACUGUUGUGAACAAAUUAAAUUUAUUAUGCUUUCAUCAUACAUGUUACUCUAUGUGAAAAUUCAUGUCACUUUAUUCAUGUUAUCCUAUGUGAAACUAUUUAAAACAUUAUAUGCUCUGUGAAACAUUAUAUGCUACGUAAAACUAUUUGAGACAUUCUAUGCUAUGUGACUCGUUCAUAAAAAACAAUUUUCUUAAGCAACCAUUAUGACCAAUUCUCAUCUAUUUUUUCAGUUGAAUCUUUAAAAGUCUUCUCUUUGAUUUCGAGGACAAAAUCUCCUAAAGUAGGGGAGACUGUAACAUCCGUCAAAAACGGAUAUCCAAAAUCCGACCCGUUUUGAUAUUCGGAUCCUAAUACCAACCCUUGAAACACGAAAUUUUUCUUUUUCGCGAAUUAAAUGAACGUCGAAAGAUAUUUUUUCUAAUUUUUAAUCUAAUUAUCAAUAUGGUUAUUUAUUUAUUAGUUUAAUAAAUUAAAUUAGUUAAAUUUACAAAUAAUUAUAAGAUUUAUUAAUUAUUUUUAGUAGUUUAGGCUAACUAAGCUAGUUAAACCUUUAGAAUAUUGAAUUUAACCAAGUUAAACCCAACUUGGUUAGUUUUAUAAAGGAACCAACUAACUGAGUUAGAAAACUCAGUUAGUUCAGUUAAUCAUAAAUAAAAAUAAGGAGGCUUAUGCCCGGAUAUGAACUCGUGACCUUACCUUCAGCAAACGCGCAUACAACCACUCCACCAUAACUCAGCUUUGUUAUUAUAUCAUGAUCCUUCGAUAUAUAAAUCCGAGAUUGGCGCUGGUUUCCUUUUUGAACGAAGUUGCCGCCCACAACCUUUCACAGUCUGUUUCUUUCCUUUUCUUCUUUACGUGAUUUUCGGUUCCUGUAAUCACGAAACAUAUAUCAAUUCCGUGUUUCCAUAUUAAAACCCAAUCAUGAAUCGAGACAUGUAUACAACUCGCAUACGGAACGAGCGAAGUCUAUAAAUACCGAGCCCUCAACCAUUUCGACACACACCAUUCGAAAAACCCUCUCUACUCUCAUUCUAAAACACCAUCACGUAAACUCAUCCCCCUCUCGACAAGACCGCAACCUUUUCGAAUCAAUGGCCCGGUGCUCAAACUCUCUGUUAAAACCUUGUCGGAACACUAGUACGUUGCCAGACUAACCCGAUACAUAUAGCCACCCUCUCACCGUUUCUUCACUCGCGAGAACGAUAACGAACACAUGUCGGAGCACCCUUGCAACUUGCCGGAGUUACCGGAGCCGUACGAAGAUCGUGACAAGAAACCGUUUCCUGUUCGUUUCACUGAGCACGUCGCAUGGGUUCGGAGUUUGCCGGAGAUCGGUUCCUGUUGUUUCGGUUAAUCACUCUCGUUCGCUCUCUUGGAUACUCCAUCUUUACUCGUACAUUCUUACAAGGAAGCGCAACGCACUCCAAGGUUGAAAGUACAAGAUUCAAGAAUCAAGCUAGGAUGAACUCUAGAAACCCACA